rnacentral:rRNA from 1 species
GACGAACGCUGGCGGCGUGCUUAACACAUGCAAGUCGAACGGAAAGGCCCUGCUUUUGUGGGGUGCUCGAGUGGCGAACGGGUGAGUAACACGUGAGUAACCUGCCCUUGACUUUGGGAUAACUUCAGGAAACUGGGGCUAAUACCGGAUAGGAGCUCCUGCUGCAUGGUGGGGGUUGGAAAGUUUCGGCGGUUGGGGAUGGACUCGCGGCUUAUCAGCUUGUUGGUGGGGUAGUGGCUUACCAAGGCUUUGACGGGUAGCCGGCCUGAGAGGGUGACCGGCCACAUUGGGACUGAGAUACGGCCCAGACUCCUACGGGAGGCAGCAGUGGGGAAUAUUGCACAAUGGGCGGAAGCCUGAUGCAGCAACGCCGCGUGCGGGAUGACGGCCUUCGGGUUGUAAGCCGCUUUCGCCUGUGACGAAGCGUGAGUGACGGUAAUGGGUAAAGAAGCACCGGCUAACUACGUGUCAGCAGCCGCGGUGAUACGUAGGGUGCGAGCGUUGUCCGGAUUUAUUGGGCGUAAAGGGCUCGUAGGUGGUUGAUCGCGUCGGAAGUGUAAUCUUGGGGCUUAACCCUGAGCGUGCUUUCGAUACGGGUUGACUUGAGGAAGGUAGGGGAGAAUGGAAUUCCUGGUGGAGCGGUGGAAUGCGCAGAUAUCAGGAGGAACACCAGUGGCGAAGGCGGUUCUCUGGGCCUUUCCUGACGCUGAGGAGCGAAAGCGUGGGGAGCGAACAGGCUUAGAUACCCUGGUAGUCCACGCUGUAAACGGUGGGUACUAGGUGUGGGGUCCAUUCCACGGGUUCCGUGCCGUAGCUAACGCUUUAAGUACCCCGCCUGGGGAGUACGGCCGCAAGGCUAAAACUCAAAGGAAUUGACGGGGCCCCGCACAAGCGGCGGAGCAUGCGGAUUAAUUCGAUGCAACGCGUAGAACCUUACCUGGGUUUGACAUGGAUCGGGAGCGCUCAGAGAUGGGUGUGCCUCUUUUGGGGUCGGUUCACAGGUGGUGCAUGGCUGUCGUCAGCUCGUGUCGUGAGAUGUUGGGUUAAGUCCCGCAACGAGCGCAACCCUUGUUCACUGUUGCCAGCACGUUAUGGUGGGGACUCAGUGGAGACCGCCGGGGUCAACUCGGAGGAAGGUGGGGAUGACGUCAAGUCAUCAUGCCCCUUAUGUCCAGGGCUUCACGCAUGCUACAAUGGCUGGUACAGAGAGUGGCGAGCCUGUGAGGGUGAGCGAAUCUCGGAAAGCCGGUCUCAGUUCGGAUUGGGGUCUGCAACUCGACCUCAUGAAGUCGGAGUCGCUAGUAAUCGCAGAUCAGCAACGCUGCGGUGAAUACGUUCCCGGGGCU